CGGACGGGUGAGUAACGCGUGGAAAACCUGCCGUAUACUGGGGGAUAACACUUAGAAAUAGGUGCUAAUACCGCAUAAGCGCACAGCUUCGCAUGAAGCGGUGUGAAAAACUCUGGUGGUAUACGAUGGUUCCGCGUCUGAUUAGCUAGUUGGUGGGGUAAUGGCCUACCAAGGCAACGAUCAGUAGCCGGCCUGAGAGGGUGAACGGCCACAUUGGGACUGAGACACGGCCCAAACUCCUACGGGAGGCAGCAG
rnacentral:rRNA from 1 species